rnacentral:rRNA from 1 species
GUUAUAGGGUCAAGCGAACAAGUGCAUGUGGUGGAUGCCUUGGCGAUCACAGGCGAUGAAGGACGCGGUAGCCUGCGAAAAGCCCCGGGGAGCUGGCAAACAAGCUUUGAUCCGGGGAUGUCCGAAUGGGGAAACCCACUCCUUAUGGAGUAUCCAUGGCUGAAUACAUAGGCCAUGCGAAGCGAACGCGGUGAACUGAAACAUCUAAGUAACCGCAGGAAAAGAAAUCAACCGAGAUUCCCAAAGUAGUGGCGAGCGAAAUGGGAUGAGCCUUGUACUCUUUAUUUGUAUUGUUAGCCGAACGCUCUGGAAAGUGCGGCCAUAG